UACGUAGGCAGCAAGCGUUGUUCGGAGUUACUGGGCGUAAAGGGUGCGUAGGCGGUUGUUUAAGUUUGGUGUGAAAUCUCCCGGCUCAACUGGGAGGGUGCGCCGAAUACUGAAUGACUAGAGUGCGGGAGAGGAUAGUGGAAUUCCUGGUGUAGCGGUGAAAUGCGUAGAUAUCAGGAGGAACACCGGUGGUGUAGACGGCUAUCUGGACCGUAACUGACGCUGAGGCACGAAAAGCGUGGGUAGCAAACAGG
rnacentral:rRNA from 1 species